rnacentral:rRNA from 1 species
GAUGAACGCUGGCGGCGUGCCUAAUACAUGCCAGUCGAGCGAACGGACGAGAAGCUUGCUUCUCUGAUGUUAGCGGCGGACGGGUGAGUAACACGUGGAUAACCUACCUAUAAGACUGGGAUAACUUCGGGAAACCGUAGCUAAUACCGGAUAAUAUUUUGAACCGCAUGGUUCAAAAGUGAAAGACGGUCUUGCUGUCACUUAUAGAUGGAUCCGCGCUGCAUUAGCUAGUUGGUAAGGUAACGGCUUACCAAGGCAACGAUGCAUAGCCGACCUGAGAGGGUGAUCGGCCACACUGGAACUGAGACACGGGCCAGACUCCUACGGGAGGCAGCAGUAGGGAAUCUUCCGCAAUGGGCGAAAGCCUGACGGAGCAACGCCGCGUGAGUGAUGAAGGUCUUCGGAUCGUAAAACUCUGUUAUUAGGGAAGAACAUAUGUGUAAGUAACUGUGCACAUCUUGACGGUACCUAAUCAGAAAGCCACGGCUAACUACGUGC